rnacentral:rRNA from 2 species
UGGGGUAGCAAAACAGGAUUAGAUACCCGGGUAAGUCCAUACCCGUAAACGAUGAAAUGCUAAGUGGUUGGAGGGUUUUCCGCCCUUCAGUGCUGCAGCUAAACGCAUUAAGCAUUCCGCCUGGGGAGUACGGCCGCAAGGCUGAAACUCAAAGGAAUUGACGGGGGCCCGCACAAGCGGUGGAGCAUGUGGUUUAAUUCGAAGCUACGCGAAGAACCUUACCAGGUCUUGACAUACUAUGCAAAUCUAAGAGAUUAGACGUUCCCUUCGGGGACAUGGAUACAGGUGGUGCAUGGUUGUCGUCAGCUCGUGUCGUGAGAUGUUGGGUUAAGUCCCGCAACGAGCGCAACCCUUAUUAUCAGUUGCCAGCAUUAAGUUGGGCACUCUGGUGAGACUGCCGGUGACAAACCGGAGGAAGGUGGGGAUGACGUCAAAUCAUCAUGCCCCUUAUGACCUGGGCUACACACGUGCUACAAUGGAUGGUACAACGAGUUGCGAACUCGCGAGAGUAAGCUAAUCUCUUAAAGCCAUUCUCAGUUCGGAUUGUAGGCUGCAACUCGCCUACAUGAAGUCGGAAUCGCUAGUAAUCGCGGAUCAGCAUGCCGCGGUGAAAUAACGUUCCCGGGCCUUGUACACACCGCCCGUCACACCAUGAGAGUUUGUAACACCCAAAGUCCCUGUGAAGAGUUACCUCCCAGCUCACGCUGUAUCUUGGAGGAGGACCAA